GAGUGUGGGUACUCGCCAAGCCUGCUAAUUUUGCCCUGGCUUCUAAGAUCCACGUGAAAGGGAGCCCAAGGUGGGGCACCCUCCACUAUUCAAGUGGGCAUCGGUGGCCUACUUAGGUGGUGCAAAUCUCUUGUCUUGAGAUUCUAUUGGUAUUGCGCAUAAACCAAAUUAUUCAGCCUCUUUUUCUCCACUAAUUUUCCUACUACANNNNNNNNNNNNNNNNNNNNNNNNNNNNNNNNNNNNNNNNNNNNNNNNNNNNNNNNNNUGACUCUGUCCCUGCUUCAAAUUACCCUGGAUCCACCAGGGCUGGACCCCAGCAGUCAAUAUUAUUAUUAUCAUUUUUUUUUUCUGCCCUGGGAGCUUUAAUGUGAUAGUGACAAUGUUGCCCUUUCUAUACAAGUGAAUAAGUAUUUGCUUAUUCCAGCAAUCAAAUAUUCUGAGAUGUUUUUUCUAAAUUUGUCUUUUACUUCUUUUAAAUAUCUUCCCAAAUGAUGUAGUGUUUUGUUUUCAUUAUUUUGGGUCAUAAUUAUUUUUAUACCUUACAUUCAGUCUCAUUCUUGGCCCAAUUCUUAUUUAUUUUUCAUUUCCUUUCACACUUUAUCCCAUGAAGUUUAGGCACUCCUUUUCACUUCAAAAAUAGAGAUAAAUCGUGUAUAUCCCUUGACUUAUGACAUCUGAAACACCUAAGAUCUGUUCUUCCACAUGCUGGUGAAAUAGCUCAAGAAUACACCCAAGAGAACGGCAUAUCACUCCUCAGAAAUCAGACACGUGCACGCCUCCUAAGAACAGACACCCCAACUCCGAGAGACAAAAGGCAAAGAACAGUGGCUCUCUGGCUCCCAGCUCUGCGGAGUUUCUGGAAAGGAGGACGGCUCCACCCUAACCUGCUCCACACCUGGCUCCAGCUUUGCACGAAGGACAAGCUUCCAGCCUGACUGCUUCAGUUUAUGUCCUGACCAUUGAUGGCAACAUGGUAUGUGGUGUUCCAAGAGGCUCAAUGACUUUAUCUUCACUUCUCCUCCCUGAUGAACCUAGGAGAAUAUGCAGGCAAAAUGAGCCAAUUUUUGUUCUUAGCUCCAUGACAGUUGUGUGAACAUGGGCAUGUUAGCUGAGACUCAGUUUCUUAAUAUUUUAAUAGAAAUUUUAAUACCUAUCUCAAUCAUAUCAUAGGGAAUUAGGGC
rnacentral:lncRNA from 1 species